CUGGUGAGAAGGGCGAAGCCAUGUCAGAAAUAAUAGAAAAGGCUUUUUCCUUUGAAAUAUCUAAACGUUCAAAGAUGGGAACAGCCGCAGGGGGGAGAAUACUGUGCUAUGCAAGUUGAUCUGAUUUUGUGGACCAUCCAUUUCCAAUUGGGAAGCUCACUUACUUUCAACUUGAAGCAUCAGAAAACCAGACUUACAGCAGCUUCAGCCUAUAGGGGUUUAUUUUUCUCAUGUAACAAGAAGAACAGAAGUGGACAGAGGCCGAGUUCUCAAGGACUCAGUUUCUUUCUGUCCCACCAACCUUACCAUGUUGGAUUGUCAUCUUUGUGCUUGUUGCCUCAUGAUGGCAAGAUGGCUGCAGCACCUCUGGGACUCACGACUGAUUUUUAAGGUGCCUUUCAGGAUUGGAGACUACUCCCCCAGUUGCUGAUGGUGUGGUCAGCCCUCAGUUUUCAGUCCUCUUUGGGAAUUGCCUUGGAUGAAGAAAGUCACCUCACCCAAGAUCACUCCAACUCCUGGGACCCACAUCCAAUGAUUGGCCAAUAUGGGGACUCAAAGGCCUGGUCCCCCUUCCCCAACUUGAGACUACUCUGAAGGAUCACCCAGCUUCAGAGCUUCCCAUGGUUGAGACUUUUAGACUUCACUGUGGUCCAACCAAUCUCUUCCUAUACACGGUCCUGACUCCUUCACUUCCCUCCCAGCACUUCUU
rnacentral:lncRNA from 1 species